ensembl:lncRNA NMBR-AS1 NMBR antisense RNA 1
UUACCUGUCGGCGCUGAGGGCAGUGAGAGUGAACACGGAAACCCCCACGGAAGUGAGCUGGAUGACAGGGAUCAGUUUGCAGCCCACCUUGCCAAACAUCCACUCGUCGAAGAAGUAGCGCGAGGCGUCCACCGGGACGCAGCUUUGCUCUUGUUUGUGAAGUUCCUGUUGUAUUGUGUGGAACUGGAGGGGAGGUCAGUCCUCCAUGCAUGUGUGUGUGCC